GAAGGUGUGUCCCAUAUGGGAUCUCAGUUUAAUAUUCUGCUUGAUUCAAGGGUGAAUAUUGAAGGGGAAAUCUAAUAUUUAAACCCUAAAAAUAUGCUAAGUUAAAAGGGAAAAGGGUUAGUAAUUUAGGACAACCUGUUAGGAGAGAAUGGGCCUACUUUGGUCGAUAAAAAUGUUGAUGGUAUUGGGGUUAGUGGAUUGG
rnacentral:lncRNA from 1 species